ensembl:lncRNA
CAGCCUCCAGUCAACCUCUGGUUGCCUCUUGGCCAACCAGAGAGGUCCCUAUGGCUUGGACAGGUACACUCUUUGCUGGGUAAAGAACUGGCUGGAGGGUUGGGCCCAGAGAAUGGUGAAUGGUGUUAAAUCCAGCUGGCAACUGGUCACCAGUGUUGUUCCCCAGGGGUUGGUAUUGGGUCCUCUCCUGUCAUCUUUAUUGAGUCAUCUUUAUUGAUGAGCUGGAUGAAUGCACCCUCAGUAAGUUCCCAGAUGACACCAAGUUGGAGGAAUUGUCGAUCUGUGUGGACUUAGGAAGGCCAUUCAGAGGGAUCUGAACAGGCUGGAUCGUUGGGCUGAGGCCGGGGGGAUGAAGUUCAACAAGGCCAUGUGUUGGGAUCUGCACUUGUUUGCAACAACUCCAGGCAACACUACAGGCUUGGGGCAGAGUGGCUGGAAAACAGUGCAGAGGAAAAGGACCUGAGGGUGUUGGUUGGUGCGCAGUUGAACACCAGCCAGCCAUGUGCCCAGGUGUCCAAGAAGGGUGACAGAUUUCUUACUUGUAUAAGAAAUAAUGUAGCCAGCAGAAGUAGGGAGGUGAUCCUCCCUCUGUACUCAUCUCUGGUGAGGCCGCACCUCGUGUACUGUGUUCAGUUUUGGGCUCCUCACUGCAAGAAAGGUAUUGAGGCCCUGGAGUGUGUGCUGAGAAGGGCAGUGAAGCUGGUGAGGGAUCUGGAGCACAGGCCUUAUGAGGAGCAGGUGGAGGAACUGGGAUUGUCUAGUCUGGAGUAGAGGAGGCUCAGGAGAGAGACCUUGUUGCUCUGUACAACUCCCUAAAAGGAGGCUGUGGUGAUGUGAAGGUCAGCCUCUUCUCCAGCGUAACAAGUGAUAGGACUAGAGGGAAUGGCCUGAAGUUAUGCUGGGGAAGGUUCACGUUGGAUAUUAGGAAAAAAUUUUCUCAAAAGAGUGGUCAGGCUCUGGAAUGGGCUGCCUGGGGAAGUGAUGGAGUCACUGUCCCUGGAGGUGUUCAAAAACCAUCUGGACUUUGUACUAAGAGGCACAGUUUAGUGGGAAAAUAUUGGUGGUAGGUGGACGGUUGGCCUAGAUAAUCUUGGAGGUCUUUUUCAACCUUGGUGAUUCUUUGAUCAGGCUGCCCAGGGCCCCAUCCAACAUGGCCUUGAAUGCCUCCAGGGAUGGGACAUCCACAGCUUCUCUGGGCAGCCUGUGCCACUGCCUCACCAUCCCCUGAGUAAAGAAUUUCCUCCUCACGUCUAGACUACAUCUCCCCUUUUUUAGUUCAAGAUAAUUCCCCCUUGUCCUAUCUCUAUCAGACCAUGUAAACUGUUGGUCUUCUUCUAGUUUAUAAGCUCCUUCUAUGUAGAGAAAUAAGGGAAGUUUUGAGCAGUUAGAGGAAAGAAUGCAACGAAAGAGACCCUUACCACUUUUUUUCAUUCACCAAGAAUGGGGAGGAGGAGGAGAAACAGGAGCAGCGCUCAGCAGGGUAGUGUCUGUUUUCAGGGAAUGCUGGUGAGAUCCUGGGACAAUGAAGUGAUGGUUACAAUGCAUUUGUACUAGCAGCUGACCUGGCUGAUGCCUCCUGCAGCAGAAACAUGCAGUCCAACCUUCGCAGUUAUGGAAACUGGAUUUUGUAAGCUCAGGAAUCUCGUUUGUAGUUUGAGCUGUGCCUGGUGUGGUGCAUUGACUGCCCAGGCCUCUCUGAGGUAACCCAGCUGCAGGUGGCAGCAGCAGCUCAAGCUGCUCAUUUCUUCUCAGAAAGAGUGAUCAGAAAUUGGAACAGACUGCUCAGGGAGGUGGUGGAGGCGUUCAAGAAGCGUGCAGGUGUAGCACUGAGGGACAUGGUCAGUGGGCCCGGUGGGGAUGGGUUGAUGGUUGAACUGGGUGGUCUUAGAGGUCUUUCAGUACUCUGUCUGAGUGGUUAAAAGAACUAAGUUAAUUCAUCCCUAGGUAACAUCCAGUGCCAAUAGAAGUGGUUUCUUUGUAGUAGUCCUAGAAGUGAGAGGGAGCAAGAUAAGAUCAGGCUCGAAUGAGAUGGGAUCAGUGAAAGCAGGUGAGUUCAGUAGGUGUGAAAGCGGCGGGGCCUGCUGGACUGGUCCCUGCUCAGGGAGCUGCAGGGGAAACACACCCUGCAGUACCGCCUGCCAGCACUGCCAGGCUCUGCUGGGCACAGCAUCUGCUGGCAGCUCUGUUCAGCCCACCUAGUGGGUCUGACAGUGCUCAGUGACCACAGAACCUUCACUGAGGAAGGGACUUUCUUGAGGUUAUCUGCAUGAGGAAAUGACCUCCUGCGCAGAGCAUGAGCCAGAAAGCAUCACAUGGAGACAGCUAGGGGAACAUGGCUGAAACUCAUUAUCUGUAAAGUCUUCAGCUGAGACAUGGUCCGUGCACCUCAGAGGCUCAAGGACUAGCUUGGCUUCACAGAUCCUCAUAGCAAAGUCCAUCUGCUGAACGAGGUCUUCCUGGUCAACUUCAUCAGCUUCUGUGUGGAAAUGGGAGUGGAGGAAUGCAUCACAACUAGUAAAACAACCAUGUAGCAGCCUGUGCUCUUUGGAGUGGACUGGCUCUGAGCUCUGUUGGGUGCUGAAAAGCACACUAAGCUGCAGCUGAGUGCAGGUCCUGCAGCUGGCAGAGCUCGGGGCACUGGGGACCACCUGGAGGCUGUGCUGGUGGGCAGAUACUGCUGGAGCUGGUGGGAGAGUCCAACCAUGUUCUGCUGUCUGGUGCGAUAGGACUGCGAGGACUUCUUUGCCAUGUUUGGCAUGUCAGGAAGCUUGAGGACCAAGUCCUGCUGGCUUGCGUUGCCAAGGAAGAGCAGAAACACUGCCUGUUGCUCAGGAACGUUCUGAAGCCAUUUGCCACUAGCACUGACAGCUUCCUCCCCACAGAGGGGUGCUGGAGAGCUGCCUUGGUGCAACAAGUGGGCUGAAGGAGGUGGGCACUGCAUCCAUAAAUCUCUGUAAACCUCACGCUGGCAGCAGGGUGUCUGCAGGCCUUCACCAAAGGCUGUGGGCUGAGCUCGGCCUCGGUGGGCUUCACGCCCACCAUCACCCCACCCCUACUUCUCACCUUCCCCCUCCACCCAUUGCACUGCCCUGUAUUGUGCUGCAGCCAAUCUGACUCAGUCUGCCCAGGUUUUAGAACAAUAGCACGCUGUUCUAAAGCUCAAUCUGCCAGAGGAAGUGUUUAUAGAAGGCGUGGAGCCAUCCCAGGACAGUUUGUUCACCAGCCAUGGAGCCUUGCCUGAGGCAAUGAAGGCUUUAUCGCACGCUGCCUUCAGGAGGAGUUGUUAGGCUUGGCUCAGCCUUUGUGUGCGUUGCAUGUAGAAAAGGCAGGCUGGUUUCUUAUUGUUUUUAAUAGUAUGUUGAGUCUGCAAUAGGGAAAACACGCUCUUACAGCUGUCAGAGUGGUGGUGUGAGGACAAUGCUGUUCUGGAGGAAUGGAGCUGGUUCUCCUCAUGGAGAACUCCCUGUCCCGAGGUAGAAAUGAGCCAAAUGGGAGCCCUACCAUCUGCCCACAGGAAGGCAACCAGCACCAGGCUGAUGCUGGGACUGGAGCUGUGACCCGGCGCUGGGCUGUGCCACAAACCCUAUUCUUGCUGGUGCCAAAAACCAGCUGCAGUUGUUAAAGAAGACAUGGGCAAAUGAACCCAUGAGGACAGGGAGCUGGCAACCAGGGCAGCCUUUGUCUCUCAGUGCAGCAGGGAAGGAAGAGCUUCUGACAGCCCUGGCAGCAAGCAGUAGUCUGGAAGAGGCAAGAAUGUUCCACUUUUCUUUGUUUUUGGUAUCUUAGCAGCUCGCUGUGUUUAUGUAGUGAUUUACUCAAUUUCCCUCAGGUUUUAGCUGACAGCAUUUCAGGUUGCACAACUGUCGUAGCUUUCUCCCAGCUGCUGUUAACCAGUGAAGGGAAGAGCUCCACAGGUUUCAGGCUGGUAAAGCCACGGUGUUUGCAGUCCACACAGAGGGACUUGACUUACUGCUGCGUACAUUAGGAGUUUGGUGGUAUCGACCUCCCGUGUGGCAGUUUGCCUUAUUACUUUAUCCCUUUCUUUUAACAGGAUAAAAGCAGUUUCAAAACUGU